AAAUACACAUAUUGAUACAUGAAGAUGAGUCCAUAAGUGAAAAGAAAAUGUGCUUGUUGACUGUCCAUAAGCUUCUAAAUUUUUUUAUUCAAUGAGAUUAACAAUAACAGGUAAAAAAUGAUCAAUUGAAUGAUUAACAAAUGUCUGAGGAUAAAAAAUACAAUAAUGAAGUAAACUAACUAACUAGAAUCAAAACGCCUUAUCAGAGAAAACAAGACGAACCUUGUUGACAUUUGUUGUAAGGAUGUAUUCAUGCUAGCUAAAGGGGAGCCAAGUGAAUUCACCCUCUUUGGACACCAGUCAUCUUCUUGUUAGGUUGCUGUAUCCGUGAUGUCAUGGAAGGCACUUCUUCAAUUCCAAUACUGAACUCACUUUUUGCUAUAGGGGGUUAACAAUUUUUUAAGGAAGGACAAUGAGCUUAGUUGAUUGUUUCAGGAGCAAUUCUAGCCUGUCUUUUGAAAUUUGCAGUAUGGACCAACUACCAGUUUUCCACAAUAAUUUAGGUCCUUGGUAAGUUUAAAUUGAUAUCAGAAGUAUUUAUGAUCAGGCAAUUCAUUUCAUCAUUUUUUUUCUGCUGGAGAAUAUCAUAUAUGUUCUAUAGCAUUGAGCUGUACCAUAAGUAUUCAUAACAAAGCAAUCCUACUGGAUACUAUUUAUGUAUGUUCUAUAUAACAGAUU
rnacentral:lncRNA from 1 species